rnacentral:rRNA from 1 species
UACGUAGGGGGCAAGCGUUGUCCGGAUUUACUGGGCGUAAAGAGCGUGUAGGCGGCCAAACAGGUCCGUUGUGAAAACUGGAGGCUCAACCUCCAGACGUCGACGGAAACCGUAUGGCUAGAGUCCGGAAGAGGAGAGUGGAAUUCCUGGUGUAGCGGUGAAAUGCGCAGAUAUCAGGAGGAACACCGGUGGCGAAGGCGGAUCUCUGGGCCUGACCUGACGCUGAGGCGCGAAAGCUAGGGGAGCGAACAGG